ensembl:lncRNA
CAGAAAAGCACUGCAGGUGAUGCUUUCAUUUGUCGCCUAGUAACAAGCCCAACAAGAACUUUGAUGAUCAGAUGUGAACACUUGGAAAGCAGAUUCUAGUGAAUGAAGAUCUGUGGCCUACCUUGAACAUUGCCAGCCCGGAUCUCUGCUCUGCUUCUCACAACGGGCAUGAUGGAGAGGUCUGUGGUUCCACUCCUCCUCUCAUAGCCUCGGAUGGAGGGAUGGGAGCUGAAGAAGUCACGCGUGAAAAACUGACGCAAAGUGGACCUGGCUUGAAUGAACUCAUAGAUGCUGCAGAUGGUUGAUAAUUCCUCCAAAGCUGGUGCUGCAGCUCGCCGAGGUUUCCUUUCAAGAACUCUGCAAGUGUGCGAGCUCUGUUGCCGUGGAGAUGAGCAGCAGUGGAUGCACUCCGCUUCUUCCCCUCCUGUCUUCUUUUCUUGGGCUUUCCGUCACUCUGCGCCUUUGCUUAAUUUAGUCAGUCAUGAUCAUCUGCGCGGCGGCCGGCUCCUCGCUCUGCUCUGUGCAGGAGAAAAACAUGAAGGGCAGAGUCAGAGGAUGAACACGCCGCCGUGAGCAUAAGGUCAUUCCCAUCUAAGGCUCAAAGAAACAUUCAAGUUUGGAUCAUUAAGGAAACUUUUUUCACUAUUUAAGCUACAGGUCUGUCCUAACCAAUAUUAAAAGUCACUAUAAACUUGCGUAUUUUUUUGUUUAAUUUUAGUUUUGUUUAACAUUGUUUCAUAGUUGAAAUCUGUCUUUUGAUUACAAAAUAAAGCAGUUUUAGGACAUUUCCUGGGGGAAAAAAUAAACUGUUUUUGUACUAGUUUCUGUAAUUGAUUGUGCAUCAUUUUAAUAUUUAUUAUUAUGUCACAUCUUGAGGGCAGAAAUGAUAUUUCAAGAUUUUUUUUCUUAGAAAUCAGUGUUAUGCUUUUAUUUUGUAGGACUUCUUCGCCAAAGUGUAGAAAAAAACAAAAAAAGCAUCAAAAUGUUCCCUAUUUUCAAUGUAUUCAUGUUCAAAAUUCAUAUAACUAAUUUAUCUGGAUUUUUCUCUAUUUUUAUGUUUUAAACAACAUUCAGUUUUUAAAAGUUACUUUUAAUGGUUUAGUCGGAGUUUACGGAGCAAACAUAAAAUUGUUUAGCAUCUUCAAAAAGGCUUUGGUUGACAAAUGAAUUCAGAAGCAGGGAUGAACUGACGUAUCAUGACUGACGUAUAUGAAGCAACCAAUCAGGAAACAGAGCUGAACAGAAUGAGCUCAAAGUUGAACUGCAGGAUCUGACCCAGCACCAUGACGACCACUGAAUAAAUGCACAAUUUGGGAACGUAAAACACAUACGUAUGUGAAACAGGUGCUAAAUAGAAAAAUGUCUCGACAUGAGAUUAAAUAAAUGAAAGAAUGUGGCAUUUGGUUUUAAUUUGAAGCGGGUAAAAAAAAAAACUUUUAUUCUAACUUUUUAAAAACUUUUUUAAACAUCAUAUUGUGCUCAUUUACAUAAAAGGUUUUCCCUGUAAAGCCAGAUUUCUAUAUGUAACGGUUGAAUCAAGCUAAUUAAUUCAAGAAGUUAUUCAAAUUUUGAGGUAUUGUUUAAAUUUUAUUUAAUGAUAAUAGAAUUUUAGUCAAAAUCGUUUUCGUUUUACAUAUUUAUCCUUCAAGUACUUUAUCUUUUAGUUUUAUUUUGGUUUCUAACUACAACAGUUUAGAGAUUUAUCUUUGAUAAAAUGAUC